rnacentral:lncRNA from 1 species
AACGACUUUGUUCAAAAUAAAUAAAAUGUACGAAUUGAGUGCAAAUUUGAAGUAAAAAUAACACAAGCAAAUUAGAGGUCUAAAUCCUAAUGGAUUUAGUUAUGGGGUGUUCAUACAUAAGAAUACAAAACAAAUGUUCGAUAAUAAGUAAACAUUAAAGGUACAAAUGAAAAUGUACAAAUCAUGUAAGGAAGGCAUAAAGUUGCAAGCUAAAAAUAUCUUGAAAAUUCAUUCAACCAUAUCUACCAAUACCACCACCAUUGGUAACAUGCUGCUUAAGUCCCUCUUUACCGUACCUAUCAUAUAUCCUGAUGUUUUCACUAUCCAAUAACACUUCAUAUGCUAUAAAAACAAAUCAAAAUUGCUUGCAAUCAUUUUACUCAUCACGAAUCCUAACUCAAUUUAAAAACAAAAGUAAGCGUUAUGCCCUAUAUUCAAAAGCUAGCUAUGAAAUUUCUUCAACACUAUGAUCCAACCAUAUCUACAUCGUAUCGACAAUCAAUGCUAUUAAAAGGAGAAAAAAAUAUCUACGAAGAACUCUAGCUGACUAUGCCAAUGAUUUUAUAUAUAUAAAAGAAUCAACACGAGAACAAUAAAAUAUGUCAUAUUACACGUAAUGGCCAUUUUUAUUUAAUGAGAUCUUAUUCAAAUAAUGUCAGAAUUAUGUUCGCUCAUCAAAUUAAGUGAAAUGCAUUCACAAAGAAUUCUGUCAAAACAAUAUGUAAAAGGCGGCUAAGAGUUGUAAAGAUCAAAUCAUUAAGUAAAAAUACCCAAAAGAACCCAAUUUUUCUUAUUGUAUAAUUAGCUCAAAUUUUAUACCAUAGAGAGGUCAGUUCUGAGGCCAUAUAAGCAUACCAACAUAAACUCCUCCAAUUCUGCUAACUUUUAUUCGAACUCCAAUCCCAAUUGCAAAAUGUCCUUCUAUAACAUAUGUAAACUGUUUUUUUACUUCAAUGAAGCAAUAAGUCAUCAAUAUCACCAACUUUUCAUUCAUCUAACUAAACAAAUUCUUCUACAUAGGUUACACUCAUUUUACUUACAUUCUAGUCA